rnacentral:rRNA from 1 species
AAAUGAAUUGACGGGGGCCCGCACAAGCGGUGGAGCAUGUGGUUUAAUUCGAUGCAACGCGAAGAACCUUACCUGGUCUUGACAUCCACAGAACUUGGCAGAGAUGCCUUGGUGCCUUCGGGAACUGUGAGACAGGUGCUGCAUGGCUGUCGUCAGCUCGUGUUGUGAAAUGUUGGGUUAAGUCCCGCAACGAGCGCACAACCCUUAUCCUUUGUUGCCAGCGGUCCGGCCGGGAACUCAAAGGAGACUGCCAGUGAUAAACUGGAGGAAGGUGGGGAGUAGCUCAAGUCAUCAUGGCCCUUACGACCAGGGCUACACACGUGCUACAAUGGCAUAUACAAAGAGAAGCGACCUCGCGAGAGCAAGCGGACCUCAUAAAGUAUGUCGUAGUCCGGAUUGGAGUCUGCAACUCGACUCCAUGAAGUCGGAAUCGCUAGUAAUCGUGGAUCAGAAUGCCACGGUAAUACG